UCUAAAUUUGCAUUCUCGAGUACACUCGGAGCUAUCAGAUGUGCAAGUCUAAGUGUCUCUUAAGGUGUUGUGAUUACGCUUAAAAAUUCCCUAAUAUAUUAUACAAAAUGGAAACAUUUCUUAACAAUCGAUCAGUUGAACAUUGGACAAGAUUGCUGAAAGAGCUUGAUCUAAGGUUGCUGAAAGAGCUUGAUCUAAGCUUGCUGACACUUAUAUAAUCCAGAGAAACUUUCAUUUUUAUACAUAUAUAUUUGUAAAUAUGUAGUGAUGUUGAAAGAAAUCACGAAAACUACAGAUUCAUCCCGACAAGCUUGUUUCGUGAUUUUUCACUCUUCAAGGGAUUUAAUGUAUAUAAUUUCAAUAAGGGGAUGAUAUAUAUUUAUAGAUAAUUUCAAGAAGGGGAUGUAAAGGAAUAUUAAGUCACAUCUAAAUUUGCAUUCUCAAGUAAAUUCGGAGCAAUCGGAUGUUUAAGUCUAAGUGUCUCUUAAGGUGUUGUGAUUACGCUUAAAAGUUCCAUAAUGUAUUUUACAAAAUGAAAAAACGUCUUAACAAUCGAUCAGUUCAACAUUGGACAAGAUUGCUGAAAGAGCUUAAUCUAAAGUUGCUGAGAGAGCUUGAUCUAAGCUUGCUGACACUUAUACAAUCAGGAGAAACUUUCAUUUUUAUACAUAUAUAAUUAUAAAUAUGUAGUGAUAUUGGAAAAAUUCACGAAAACUACAGAAUCAUCCCGACAA